rnacentral:misc_RNA from 1 species
CCAUUAAAAGAAAUACACUUUUGCAAUCUUUUUUAUAAGACCAGAAUUCAAUUAUUGUAAAUCAUCUUCAUUUUAUCCGACAAAACUUCUUAAAAUCUUUGCUUACACUAUCACGAUUAAAUAGUGUCGAUAUUGAGAUUCUUUUUUGAUUUUCUUAAUUAUUGAAGGACUCGCAUAUUUUUUUUCUUUCCUCAAGAAGAAGCAACGUUAUGCUCUAGAUCUUAUCCCUGUGUUCCUUUCCCAUCGUGGGAAAUCCAAGUAUUAAUAAACCGGGGUGCCUCUAGUUUCGUAGUCAGUCAAAUCACGAAUCGCCGAAAGCGAGUUCAAUCUGCUCGUGUAUAUGGGAAAAAUGCAUUUGCUGCGUGUAAAUGAUUCAUCAAUUAGUGAUACAAGAUACAAUGAGGCUCACCAGACUCUAUCAAAGUCAUAAGAAAUAAUCUGUUAUUAGAAAUUUAUAUUGGCAUUUCAUUCAUCAGUUCACUCUUCGAUCCAGAUUUUUCUCUUGCUAAAAUAUGAUGCACGCUAUAUCACUGAAAACAUCAAUAAUGCAUCUUACUUACUUACUAAAAGUUUCUUAUUUAUAAGCACUAUCUUUGCACUGCGUAGAUAAUAAAUUAUCCUAAGAAUAAAAGGCAAAAACCAAUUCUUCAUAUACGAAACUUAUUAUGUAACUCAUUUCUGUUUCAGAGAUUCUCGAAAUGAGUAGACCAUUACUGGCAUGGCUAUUCGCCACGUUAUGUUUUACAAGCUUUCUAUUGUUCACCGCAAUCACAGCUUCAUUAGAAAAUGUGUCAAUCGACGAUAGUGAUGAAGACAAUACGUACAGAAAAAACAGACGAAAGAAGCCACACAUUGUUAUUAUUGUUGUCGACGAUAUGGACUGGAACGACGUUAGUUUUCACGGCUCCAAUCAGAUUUCGACGCCGAAUAUCGAUGUUCUCGCAUAUAACGGAAUUCUGAACAAUCAUUAUAUAUCACCACUGUGUACACCGAGUAUAACAUCCCUAAUGACUGGAAAGUAUCCAAUUCGCUUAAGCAUGCAACAUGGUGUUUUACUUUCAUCGGAACCACGUAGACUUCUAAUGAAUGAAAAAUUACUAUGGCAGUAUUUAAAAGAAGCUGGUUACAAAACAACACAUAUAGUAGGUAAAUGGCAUUCGGAUUUUUACACACAUGAGUAUACGUCAGCGUAUCGCGGGUUUGACAUGCAUUUCAGUUACUGGAAUGGCCAGGAUUACUACAAUCACAACGUUAUGGAUCCAUUUAGUAAUUCUAAAAAAGAGAAAACCUUAAUCAGUAGCAUUGACAUGAGGCGAAAUAUGUCAGUCGCAUGGGACACAAUCGACAAAUACUCGAUGGAUCUCUUUACCGAAGAAGCUAUACGUUUGAUUAACAUUCACAAUAAGGAUAAUCCAAUGUUUUUGUAUAUGGCCCAUCUUGCUCCCGAUAGUGGAAACAUGAACGAGUUAUUACAAGUUCCUGCUGAAGAGAUUGCCAAAUUUUCCUGCAUCAAGGAUCCGAAAAGAAGAAUUUACGUUGCUAUGAUUUUUAAAUUGGACCAGAGUGUUGGAGAAGUUGUAGAAGUUUUAAAAAAUCGCGGAAUGUUAGAAAAUAGUAUCAUUCUAUUUAUGUCUGAUAACGGAGCACCUACUGAAGAUAUCUUCCAGAAUUAUGAUAGUAAUUAUCUUUUGCGUGAUAUAAAAGGUAGUUCCCUUUGGGAAGGUGUGCAAGGAGCUGUGCAAGGAGUGGCUGCAAUAUGGAGUCUCCUAAUUGAAAAACGCGAACGAGUUUCGAAUCAAUUAACGUAUAUAAUUGACUGGUUGUUCACUUUGUUGUCUGCCGCCGGCAUAAACAAGAAAGAGAUUCCCAAAAUCGAUGACCACGACAUAUGGACAGCAUUAGUAUCUGAUGCGCGCAAAACCAGUUCCAGAUAUGCAGUAUUAAUAAAUAUUGACGAUAUCUACGAUUAUGCGGCAAUUCGUCAUGGUACAUUCAAGUACAUAAACGGUAAGAGUGAGCUGCAUUCUGCCUGGAUAGUAGACUCUGGAAGAUCAAACGUCGAACAACGAUCGCCGUACGAUCCUGACCAAGUGUUACAAAGCAGAGCAGGAAUCACUAUUGCCUGGAUGCAAACGAUCAGACAUGUAUUGGAGCGCAAAAGAGAAAAAGCUGCUCUCAAUCAGAUUGUUGUCAAAAAUUCGAAAAAAAAACUAUAUUGUGUGUGACUUGCCAGAUUCUGCAGUUAAGGCGCGAGGCACAAAUUCAUUGCAACGUAACGGAACAAGAUAAGACUCCUUGCGAUCCAACGAUAUCGCCGUGCGUAUUCAACAUCGAGGAAGAUGAUCAACAUCAUCGAUAAACAAUCAUCUCUCGUCAUCUCACAGCGAGAUUAGAAAUAGCUCCGGCAUGAUAUAGAUUAAGUAUGGUGCCAGUUAGUAACGCGAAUUUCGAUCCCCAAGCAAAUUCCAAAUUCUGGAACAACACCUGGACCUGCUGACAAGAUGCCGAACCAUGGGCGUUAACGCUUUCGUACACAAAUUAAAUUGCCAGCCGUCCAUAGUCGGACAUGUCCUUGCGCUUUCGAUUAUUAUCGGGAUCGCUCUAUUUAAUUGAUACUGUCCUAAAAAAUUGCGUCCUAUUGAAUAGAAUGACAAACACAUGUAAACACAAAAUAAGAGAUGAUUCGAUGCGAGAAAAUACGCAAAAUUUUAUGCAAGUUAGUUCUAUUGAUUGAGUCCAAUCCAGAUCACGCUCAAAAGUAAGGACAAAUGAGUUUGACAAAUAAGAUCCAUGACAUUUGUCUUUUGAUCAUAAAAGUCGAUUAAAGAAAAGAAAGAUGAAAGAAAUAAUUUCUAGAAUAAGCGAAUAAAAAAAUGUUAUGAUUUCUUGAAACUAUAUCAAUUUGGCGUAAAUCAGUAAGUUAUCUCAUUCAGAUCACAAGAUGUAAUCCCGGUGAUACGAGCAUUUGUAUCGCCGUAGAUAACAAUACGUGCUCUUACCCAGGAAUGCGCACUUGCCUAGCGCAAGUUCGUAAUUCCGUCAUAAAUCAUUAUCAUGUUUUAAAAGAUAGUAUAGAUUGUGUUACGAUACAAAUCGUACAGUUUGUACAAUUCGUAAUAAAAUUUCACAUUUCCUCUGAUAUAUACUGACAUCACUUAUGUAUUGACACUUCUCUUUUUCUGUACAAAAUUUUAUGGAAAUAGAGCAAUUGAAUAAUAAUAAUAUAUAACUAAAUAAUUUACGAUCACAAAUUACCAAUUUACAAAUUACAAAUUUGAAUCAUCUACGAUUCGUCUUCCGCAGUUUGCUUUCGAUGUAUGAUUAAUUAUUAUAACAAUAUUAAAAUUGCGUCAACAAGCCGGAAACGAAUCGUAGAUUAAUUUACAGAGUCCACACAAGAACAUAAAUAGGACUGAUAGAACUGAAACAUAAUGGCAACUUUUUGACAGACGUGCGCAUAUUCGGCAAUGCGAUACUUGAACAUGGUUUCAAUGCAUACGUCACAUUGCACAUGCUGCACUGCUAUGAAUAAUUUAGUCACUGAAUAAAAAGAAAAAAAAA